rnacentral:rRNA from 1 species
AUUGAACGCUGGCGGUAUGCUUAACACAUGCGAGUCGAACGAUGAGAAAGAGCUUGCUCUUUCGAUUAGUGGCGGACGGGUGCGUAACGCGUAGGAAUCUACCUAUUAGUGGGGGACAACUUAGGGAAACUUAAGCUAAUACCGCAUACGCCCUACGGGGGAACGAAGGGGAUCGCAAGACCUUUUGCUAAUAGAUGAGCCUGCGUAGGAUUAGCUAGUUGGUGGGGUAAAAGCCCACCAAGGCGACGAUCCUUAACUGGUUUGAGAAAAUGAGCAGUCACACGGGAACUGAGAAACGGUCCAGACGCAUACGGGAGGCAGCAGUGGGGAAAAUUGGACAAUGGGCGAAAGCCUGAUCCAGCAAUACCGCGUGUGUGAAGAAGGCCUUAGGGUUGUAAAGCACUUUCAAUUGGAAGGAAAACCUCGAAGCUAAUACCUUCGAGUUUGACAUUACCUUUAGAAGAAGCACCGGCUAACUCCGUGCCAGCCGCCGCCGUAA